ensembl:lncRNA
AGAGGGGAGGCAGGUAGACUAGAGGGGAGGCAGGUAGACUAGAGGGGAGGCAGGUAGACUAGAGGGGAGGCAGGUAGACUGGAGGGGCGACAGGUAGACUAGAGGGGCGGCAGGUAGACUAGAGGGGCGGCAGGUAGACUAGAGGGGAGGCAGGUAGACUAGAGGGGCUGCAGGUAGACUAGAGGGGUGGCAGGAAGACUAGAGGGGCUGCAGGUAGACUAGCGGGGAGGCAGGUAGACUAGAGGGGAGGCAGGUAGUCUAGAGGGGAUCCGUACAGAAAUGGUUUGUCGAGAUCGGUGUGGCCUGCACAGAGACCUGACCUCAACCCCAUCGAACACCUUUGGGAUGAAUUGGAAAGCCGACUACAAGCCAGGUCUAAUCGCCCAACAUCAAUGCCCGACCUCACUAAUGCUCUUGUGGCUGAAUGGAAGCAAGUCCCCGCAGCAAUAUUCCAACAUCUAGUGGAAAGCCUUUCCAGAAGAGUGGAGGCUGUUACAGCAG